rnacentral:lncRNA from 1 species
CCACCCUCUGAGGACAUGACCUUACGCUAUCAUCCCCGCCGCGGCCACUAUCCCACCAACCGAUAAGGGUACAGUGGCACACACACGCACUAUAGCGAAAAACGCAAAUGUAGCAAACUAGAAAACAACAUAAUGGACCACACUCUGAAUGCUAGCUAAAAUACGUAAAAAGGUGCACAAAAUAAACAAGAGAGCGGGAGGUACCAACUAUAACAACAGAAUAGACCACACUCGGAAUGCUAGCUAAAAUACGUAAAAAGGUGCACAAAAUAAACAAGAGAGCGGGAUGUACCAACUCCCGGUGGAAAAACCUGGAAGUGUGCUUUGCUGCGCCCGAGUUUUCCUGAAUCUUAGCAAAAUGCGCGGCUCUAUUGCGUCCUGCCGCGAGUCUGAACGAGAGUUUGAACGAUAAUUGUCGGAGGCUUGCUGGAGAUCCUCGCCGGAAAAAUAUGGCACCUGUCCAAGAAAACAGAACACACCCACACACACCGACAAAAAGCAGAAGAGAGAAUAUGAAGAAAAGGGCAGAAAGAGGAUUGAAAUAAACAAAAGAAAAGCAGAACAAAGAACUCAACAAAGGAGAUAAAUUAGCUAAAUUACACGAAAUGUAAAAAAUUCAAAAUUCGUAAAUGGAAAGGAUACACAAAUAAUGGAAGGAAGACUAUGGUUCCAGAUCUAUAUGCACUGACCGAAAAAUAGGAAAUUGCUCUUCUUUUAUUGGUUUACAGUAAACCAAGAAUCGCUUUUGACAACAGCUGAUAAUGAAAAGACAAUUACGAAUCUAGAAAUUAAACGAAAAUCUCCGAUUUAAAUAGACGGAACUAAAACUUCAGUAAUUGCAAGGAAUUUAAGAAUUUGUAGUAACAGUUUCUUAAAUGCAGAAACCAAAACAAUGCUUUAAUCUCAACGCCACAAAGCUUGCAACCCAAAAAUGGUUUAAAAAAAUUAAAAGAGUUAGAAACUGCAAAUGGGCUGAC